rnacentral:tRNA from 1 species
GGGGCUGUAGCUCAGUGGUAGAGCGCUUGCCUAACAUGUAUGAAGUACUGGGUUCGAUCCUCAGCACCA